rnacentral:tRNA from 1 species
GGAGAAGUACCCAAGUGGUUAAGGGGCUCCCCUGCUAAGGGAGUAGCGUGCGGAAGUGCGGCGUGGGUUCAAAUCCCACCUUCUCCGCCA